UACGUAGGUGGCAAGCGUUGUCCGGAUUUACUGGGCGUAAAGGAUGCGUAGGCGGACAUUUAAGUUAGAUGUGAAAUACCCGAGCUUAACUUGGGUGCUGCAUUUGAAACUGGGUGUCUAGAGUGCAGGAGAGGUAAGUGGAACUCCUAGUGUAGCGGUGAAAUGCGUAGAGAUUAGGAAGAACACCAGUGGCGAAGGCGACUUACUGGACUGUAACUGACGCUGAGGCAUGAAAGCGUGGGGAGCAAACAGG
rnacentral:rRNA from 1 species